GGGGUUGUGGCUCAAUGUAGAGCACUCGCCUAGCAUGUGUGAGGCCAUGGGUUCGAUCAUCAGCACCA
rnacentral:tRNA from 1 species